AAUCAACGCUGGCGGCGUGCCUAACACAUGCAAGUCGAACGGGAAAACGGGGCAACUCCGUGAGUAUAGUGGCGUACGGGUGAGUAACACGUGACUACCUACCUUUGAGUGGGGGAUAACCCCGGGAACCGGGGCUAAUACCGCAUAACAUCGCAAGAUCAAAGAAGCAAUUCGCUUAAAGAGGGGGUCGCGGCUGAUUAGCUAGUUGGUAGGGUAAUGGCCUACCAAGGCGAUGAUCGGUAGCCGGCCNGAGAGGGCGCACGGCCACACUGGAACUGAAACACGGUCCAGACUCCUACGGGAGGCAGCAGUGGGGAAGUUUU
rnacentral:rRNA from 1 species